CAGCCGCCGCGGUAAUACGGAGGGUGCAAGCGUUAAUCGGAAUUACUGGGCGUAAAGCGUGCGUAGGCGGUUUGUUAAGUCUGUUGUGAAAUCCCCGGGCUCAACCUGGGAAUGGCAAUGGAUACUGGCAAGCUAGAGUGUGUCAGAGGAUGGUGGAAUUCCCGGUGUAGCGGUGAAGUGCGUAGAGAUCGGGAGGAACAUCAGUGGCGAAGGCGGCCAUCUGGGACAACACUGACGCUGAGGCACGAAAGCGUGGGGAGCAAACAGGAUUAGAUACCCGAGUAGUCCCUGUCUCUUAUAC
rnacentral:rRNA from 1 species